UGAGAAAAUUGUAUACUUCCCCAUUAAAAUAUAGUCCCAAGCAAAUAAUGAGAAUUAGUAUUCAUUUCUACGUGCUGCCUUUGUCAAAACCACUCUUUUGUGCACUAUUAAAAAUAGUUCUUUGAUA